rnacentral:rRNA from 1 species
AUUGAACGCUGGCGGCAGGCCUAACACAUGCAAGUCGAGCGAGCGGCGGACGGGUGAGUAAUAUAUCGGCACGUGCCCAGUAGCGGGGGGUAACUCCUCGAAAGAGUGGCUAAUACCGCAUACGCUUGGAGCGGCCGAUAUCGGGUUAGCGAGUUGGUGGGGUAAAGGCUCACCAAGGCAACGAUACGUAGCUGGUUUGAGAGGACGACCAGCCACACUGGGACUGAGACACGGCCCAGACUCCUACGGGAGGCAGCAGUGGGGAAUAUUGGACAAUGGGGGAAACCCUGAUGCAGCCAUCCCGCGUGUAUGAGAAGGCCUUCGGGUUGUAAAGUACUUUGAGCAGGGAAGCGGUAUCGACAGAAUAAGCACCGGCUAACUACGUGCCAGCAGCCGCGGUAAUUC